rnacentral:rRNA from 1 species
UACGUAGGGGGCAAGCGUUGUCCGGAAUCAUUGGGCGUAAAGCGCGUGUAGGCGGCUUGGUAAGUCUGCUCUGAAAGCCCGGGGCUCAACCCCGGGAGGCGGGUGGAUACUGCUGAGCUCGAGUCCGGAAGAGGCGAGUGGAAUUUCUGGUGUAGCGGUGAAAUGCGCAGAUAUCAGGAGGAACACCAAUGGCGAAGGCAGCUCGCUGGGACGGUACUGACGCUGAGACGCGAAAGCGUGGGGAGCAAACAGG